rnacentral:rRNA from 1 species
AUGAACGCUGGCGGCGUGCUUAACACCUGCAAGUCGAACGAUGAAGCCCAGCUUGCUGGGUGGAUUAGUGGCGAACGGGUGAGAAACACGUGAGUAACCUGCCCUUGACUCUAGGAUAAGCCCGGGAAACUGGGUCUAAUACUGGAUAGGAACGUCUACCGCAUGGUGGGUGUUGGAAAGAAUUUCGGUCAUGGAUGGACUCGCGGCCUAUCAGCUUGUUGGUGAGGUAAUGGCUCACCAAGGCGACGACGGGUAGCCGGCCUGAGAGGGUGACCGGCCACACUGGGACUGAGACACGGCCCAGACUCCUACGGGAGGCAGCAGUGGGGAAUAUUGCACAAUGGGCGAAAGCCUGAUGCAGCGACGCCGCGUGAGGGAUGACGGCCUUCGGGUUGUAAACCUCUUUCAGUAGGGAAGAAGCGAAAGUGACGGUACCUGCAGAAGAAGCACCGGCUAACUACGUG